rnacentral:rRNA from 1 species
CCCUUAGACGUUCUGGGCCGCACGCGCGCUACACUGACGAAGGCAACGAGCUUUCCUUUACCGAAAGGUACGGGUAAUCUUUUGAAACUUCGUCGUGCUGGGGAUAGAUCCUUGCAAUUAUUGAUCUUAAACGAGGAAUUCCUAGUAAGCGCAAGUCAUCAACUUGCGUUGAUUACGUCCCUGCCCUUUGUACACACCGCCCGUCGCUACUACCGAUUGAAUGGUUUAGUGAGGCCUUCGGAUCCGCGACUCGUUUUGUGGAGAAGUUGGACAAACUCAGUCAUUUAGAGGAAGUAAAAGUCGGAACA